UACAGAGGUCUCAAGCGUUGUUCGGAUUCAUUGGGCGUAAAGGGUGCGUAGGCGGCGCGGUAAGUCGGGUGUGAAAUCUCGGAGCUUAACUCCGAAACUGCAUUCGAUACUGCCGUGCUUGAGGACUGGAGAGGAGACUGGAAUUUACGGUGUAGCGGUGAAAAUGCGUAGAUAUCGUAAGGAAGACCAGUGGCGAAGGCGGGUCUCUGGACAGUUCCCUGACGCUGAGGCACGAAGGUCAGGGGAGCAAAACGGG
rnacentral:rRNA from 1 species